AUAUUGGUCAAUGGGGGAAACCCUGAACCAGCAACGCCGCGUGAGGGAUGACGGCCUUCGGGUUGUAAACCUCUGUCCUCUGUGAAGAUAAUGACGGUAGCAGAGGAGGAAGCUCCGGCUAACUACGUGCCAGCAGCCGCGGUAAUACGUAGGGAGCGAGCGUUGUCCGGAUUUACUGGGUGUAAAGGGCGUGUAGGCGGAGCUGCAAGUCAGAAGUGAAAUCCCCGGGCUCAACCCGGGAACUGCUUUUGAAACUGCAGCCCUUGAGUAUCGGAGAGGCAGGCGGAAUUCCUAGUGUAGCGGUGAAAUGCGUAGAUAUUAGGAGGAACACCAGUGGCGAAGGCGGCCUGCUGGACGACAACUGACGCUGAGGCGCGAAAGCGUGGGGAGCAAACAG
rnacentral:rRNA from 1 species